rnacentral:rRNA from 1 species
UACGUAGGGUGCGAGCGUUAAUCGGAAUUACUGGGCGUAAAGGGUGCGCAGGCGGUUUUGAAAGCGAGAUGUGAAAUCCCCGGGCUCAACCUGGGAAUGGCAUUUGGGACUGCAAGGCUAGAGUGUGGCAGAGGAGACUGGAAUUCCCGGUGUAGCAGUGAAAUGCGUAGAUAUCGGGAGGAAUACCGAUGGCGAAGGCAGGUCUCUGGGCUGACACUGACGCUCAUGCACGAAAGCGUGGGGAGCAAACAGG